UGGGGAAUCUUGCGCAAUGGGCGAAAGCCUGACGCAGCCAUGCCGCGUGGAUGAUGAAGGUCUUAGGAUUGUAAAAUCCUUUCACCGGGGACGAUAAUGACGGUACCCGGAGAAGAAGCCCCGGCUAACUUCGUGCCAGCAGCCGCGGUAAUACGAAGGGGGCUAGCGUUGCUCGGAAUUACUGGGCGUAAAGGGCGCGUAGGCGGACAGUUAAGUCGGGGGUGAAAGCCCGGGGCUCAACCUCGGAAUUGCCUUCGAUACUGGCUGUCUUGAGUGCGGGAGAGGUGUGUGGAACUCCGAGUGUAGAGGUGAAAUUCGUAGAUAUUCGGAAGAACACCAGUGGCGAAGGCGACACACUGGCCCGUUACUGACGCUGAGGCGCGAAAGCGUGGGGAGCAAACA
rnacentral:rRNA from 1 species